UACCUGACCUAGCGGCGGACGGGUGAGUAAUGCUUAGGAAUCUGCCUAUUAGUGGGGGACAACAUUCCGAAAGGAAUGCUAAUACCGCAUACGCCCUACGGGGGAAAGCAGGGGAUCUUCGGACCUUGCGCUAAUAGAUGAGCCUAAGUCGGAUUAGCUAGUUGGUGGGGUAAAGGCCUACCAAGGCGACGAUCUGUAGCGGGUCUGAGAGGAUGAUCCGCCACACUGGGACUGAGACACGGCCCAGACUCCUACGGGAGGCAGCAGUGGGGAAUAUUGGACAAUGGGCGGAAGCCUGAUCCAGCCAUGCCGCGUGUGUGAAGAAGGCCUUUUGGUUGUAAAGCACUUUAAGCGAGGAGGAGGCUCCUUUAGUUAAUACCUAAAGAGAGUGGACGUUACUCGCAGAAUAAGCACCGGCUAACUCUGUGCCAGCAGCCGCGGUAAUACAGAGGGUGCGAGCGUUAAUCGGAUUUACUGGGCGUAAAGCGUGCGUAGGCGGCUUUUUAAGUCGGAUGUGAAAUCCCUGAGCUUAACUUAGGAAUUGCAUUCGAUACUGGAAAGCUAGAGUAUGGGAGAGGAUGGUAGAAUUCC
rnacentral:rRNA from 1 species